rnacentral:lncRNA from 1 species
GAGCUUGUCCGGUGUGGGAGAUGGAGGUGCGGCGGCGGCUUCGGGUCUGCCGGGUCUUUGUGGAGGUCGGUGUGCACUGAGGCUGAAGAAGGUAGGACCUACUGGCUGAGAGCGAAAGGAAAUGGGGAAACAAUGGAGGUCGGUCUGUGGGGGAAAUGGAAAGGGAAACGGGGGGAGAGACUGCAAUGGUAGAGAGAAGCUUUUUGCUCUCUGGUUCUCUUUGGCUGAAAGGAGGGUGGCGUUGGCUUUGGGAGGAAAGUCGACGAGCAAGGAAAGGAAAGGCCUUGGCUGGUGAGAGGGGGAGCGAUUGUGAGAGGGAGAUGGUGGCGGCUGUAAGAGAAAAGGUGAGAUGGACGGGGGGGCCUGUUCUGGUUUCUUUUUGGUAAAGGAGAAGCGAGCGGCGACUUGGGUAUGAGGGAAGUAAGGGUUAAGGUUUUUUACGGUUUUUUGUGGUUUAGGGUUUCUUUAUGAU